rnacentral:rRNA from 1 species
CCCUUAGAUGUUCUGGGCUGCACGCGCGCUACACUGACACACGCAACGAGUCUCCUGCCCUGACAGGGUCGGGUAAUCAUUUGAGUGUGUGUCGUGAUGGGGAUAGAGUAUUGCAAUUAUUGCUCUUGAACGAGGAAUUCCUAGUAAGCACAAGUCAGCAGCUUGUGCUGAUUACGUCCCUGCCCUUUGUACACACCGCCCAUCGCUACUACCGAUUGGGAAAAUUUUAGAGAGUCCUGGACUGAUGAUUGUUCGGCUUCACGGCCUUACUCUCGUCGGGAAAGAAUUCGAUAAUAUUUUUCUAGAGGAAGUAAAAGUCGUAACA